AAUAAGGUCACCUUUCAUUCUUCUAAAUGCUAUAGAGAAGAGGCCCAUAAGAAAGAUCCCUCCAUUCCCGGAUAAACCUUGUGAACUGCCUCCAAUGGUUGCCUGGAGUUGUGAUGGCGCGUUGGGAUAGUGGAACUGGAUCGCCGCGCUGUACUUGGAGGGGACGUUUUGUAGCGACUCGGAGUGAGGAGCGGCUCGGCAUCGGCGCUGCAGCUUCGGUUCGGGGGACACCUUGAUAUAGGAGUGGCAUCCUCUGUAAACAGAUCUGACUUUUAAAGCCUUUGACUGGUUGGAACUGCAGUAAAUUGGACGAGACAAGUUAAACUGCUUAAAAAUGCCAAGCGUCCUCAAGGUGGAGGUGAGAGGAUAAACAAAUUGCACUUGGCAGAAAUAGGAGGGAGAUGAUGCAAAAGGAGGGGCUUCAACCAAUCCAGUUAACCACUGAAAUCUAUUACGGUUUCAAGAAGAGAUCAACUAAUAAGACCAAAAGACCUAGGAGCAGAAAUUAGGCCAUUCGGCCCAUCAAGUCUGCUCCACAAUUCAAUCAUGGUUGAUAAGUUUCACAACCCCAUUCUUCCACUUUCUCCCCAUGACCUAUGAUUCCCUUGACAAUCAAGAACCUAUUUAUCUCCAUCUUCAAUAUAAUCAAUGACGUGACCUUCACAGCCCUUCCGUGGCAGUAAAUUCCAUGUAUUCACCACUCUCUGGCUGAAGAACUUUCUCAUUAUCUCCGUUCUGAAGGGUCUUCCCUCUACUCUAAGGCUGUGCCCUCGGGUCCUGCCAAUGGAAACAUCUUCCCAACGUCCACUUUGUCCAGGCCAUUCAGUAUUCUGUAAGUUUCAAAUAGAUCCCCCCUCAUCCGUCCAUACUCCAUCGAGUAUAAACCCAGAGUCUGCAGAUGUUCUUCAUACAUUAAGCCUUUUGUUCUUGGGAUCAUUCUCAUGAAACCCCUCUGGACCCACUCCAGGGUCAGUAAAUCCUUCCGGAACACUGAACUAGCACUCCCAAGUCCCUUUGCACUUCAGAUUUUUGAAUUUUCUCCCCAUUUAGAAAAUAGUCUGUGCCUCUAUUCUUCCUACCAAAGUGCAUGACCUUACACUUUUCCACAUUGUAUUCAAACUGCCAAGGCAUUGCACAUUGACAUCCUGGCUUUUGCAGACAGGCACAGCAAAACAAUCUUCUGUGAGAUUUAUAUUGGAACCAAAGGUGGUUCUAAGAGCUUUUGGGAGGUAACUGAAAAGGAAGCAGUUGUCUCCAUUUUUCUCUCUCUUCCCACAAAGAAACUAGCCCAGUUUCUGUGGAGACAACAACAGAGGAGGGUCCAAUAAACCAGCUUAGCAAGCUAAGAAUUUUAAAAUAACUGCAAUAUUUAUUGUUGAUUACUAUUGAUCUAUUGAAGAAACCAGCUAAUCCAACUUGUUCGAGGUUAAAACCUUCAUGUUAAGGAUCACAAAUGGGAAUCUAAACUGUAUAUUCUUUUAUCUUACUUUGUUUUGGACUCUAUUACCUUUUAAUUUUGUACAUUGGUGUGCAGGUAAGGGCACAACUGACUGCAUUAAGGCCAGAUGCGUGAUGUCGCGGCUUUUUUUGUGAUUU